rnacentral:lncRNA from 13 species
AUGAUUCAGAGAAUACCCAAAAGCUUUAAAGAGCUGUCUGUUCAGACUCUCUUCAUGUUGUGCAAAGAAUUCAAUUUUAGCCCAGAUCAUAGCAAACAAGCUGUACUACAGAAUGGCAAAUGGACCUCCCUGGAGUGGCUGGGGCAUUCAAAGUCUCUAUCCUGGUCUGCUGGAGACCUUGGCAUUUUACUUCCCGGACAUAACUUUAUUCUGCUGGAGCAAUGCUCACAUUGCUCUGGAAACACUGGAAAAUCUCAAGAUGCAGGUCAGUCUGCUCCAUGGAUGAGUAUGAGGCCCCAAGCCAUCUCUCAAACUAAAGAUUCCCCAGCCAGAUAAUGCUGAAGAGUCUUCAACAAGGCAAUAUGAUUACUCUGUGUGCUUAGAAGAAGAGGGAUUAUAAAUGUCAGCUGUUGCUCUUUGACUCCUGCUGAUUGAUUCAUUGAUUCAUCUUUCCAACAGGCGUGUGCUGCAAGUUGAUUAUACUGAAUGACACUGCGGAG